AUGGCAAGCAGCGCCGAGCUUAUGCAAGCUGAGGCCGACCUCGUGCGCCACUCCCUGGGCUACCUCAAGUCCAUGGCAUUGCACAGUGCUGUCAAGCUUGGAGUUGCUGAUGCUCUCCACCGUUGUGGUGGCAGCGCCUCCUUGCCCGACCUGCUUGCCACCCUCCCCCUCCCUCCAAGCAAACAGCCCUACUUGUCACGCCUCAUGAAGGUGCUAGCCACGGAAGGAAUCUUUGUGGCCGAGGAGGGUGUGGCUGUCGCCAACGGCGGCGACGGGGCGACCUGCGUGUACCACCUAAACACAAUGUCUCGCCUCCUCGUCAACGACGCUGGCAUCAACGGCGGCAGCGCGUGGAAGCUGUCGUCGUGCAUUCUCAUGACUACUACGCGGCAGAUUGUUGGAUCCGCCCUGCAGCUGGGGCAGUGGUUCCAGAGCGACGGCGAGGCCACGCCGUUCGUGAUGGCCAACGGCCGGCCCCCCUAUGGCGUUGCUGCCCACGACGCCGAGUUUAACUCGGUGUUCAACGAGGCCAUGGCGGCCGACAGCCGGUACCUGGCCGACCUCGUGGUCCGUGAGUGUGGUGAGGUGUUCGACGGGAUAACCUCGCUGGUCGACGUCGCCGGCGGGACUGGUACGAUGGCGAGGGCCAUUACCAAGGCCUUCCCACACGUCAAGUGCUCAGUUCUUGACCUCCCACAUGUGAUCCAAGGCGUCUCGGCUCAGGCCGACAAUGUGGAGUUUGUUGCUGGGGACAUGAUGGAGUUCAUUCCACCUGCUGAUCGCAUUUUACUUAAGUAUGUGCUGCAUAACUGGAGCGACGAGGAUUGCGUGAAGAUCCUGACACGAUGCAGAGAGGCCAUUGCCCACGGAGAAAAAGAAGGGAAGGUCAUCAUCAUCGAUGAAGUGGUUGGAUCUAGCUCGCAGAACAUACUCGAAGCCCAGCUCUUGAUGGAUAUGCAAAUGAUGUCAUUAUUUAUGGCCAAAGAACGAUAUGAGCAAGACUGGAACAAGAUAUUCACGGAAGCAGGAUUUGUGAAUUACAAAAUUCGACCUAUCCUAGGGGUGCGAUCGGUCAUUGAACUCUACAUAUAA
rnacentral:rRNA from 1 species